UCCCAUUACAUUUUGGUGGUGAUCCGAACAAAAUUCUGGAUACUGUGAUCCAGAACACACAAAAAUAAGGGUGUCGUUGGAAUUUUCAAUGCUGAAAGAUAACCAAUGGGCGGCACAGUGGUGUAGAUAGGCGGCACAGUGGUGUAGUGGUUAGCACUGUCGCCUCACAGCAAGAAGGUCCUGGGUUUGAAUCCGGGUCAGGGCAUUUCUUGUUUUAGGAACAUUUUGAACAAAUAAAAGUUAAUAAAAGACACGUAACAGUAAAAGUUUUGCUGUGAAUCACAAUAUAAGGGGGGACAUGAGCUGCUUGGCGGAGGUCUGCGCUCUCCGAGUGCUUUUCUGGUUAAGGAUACCCAUUAGCUGAAGCCAUAGCAAUCAACUAGUCUUCCUGGUUUCUUCAUAACACGAGCAAGUGCAAACCGUGUACAAAAUACAAUAUCACGAUAAAAAUUAUACAAUCAAUAUUCAAAAAGGUUAAAAACCAGAAACUCAAUCUGGCAAACAAAAUACAGUAAAAAACAUCCACAGAGAGAGAGACAGACAAAAAAAAAACCACAUACAUACAUAAACAAAGCAUAAACAAAAAACACAUCACAGAUUCAAAUAUUGUUUGAUGAAUUAUCAAGACCCAACCUAAGAUGGGAUUUGGCCCAUCUCAUCGAACAUGAGUCUAACACAGUAUGUGAAAAUUCAACCGUGAUACGAAAAAAUAAAUGCCGCAAUAUCGCAGGACGGAAAAACGUCACUGAUGUGAAUGCUUGUAUUGACAGGAUAGGGGUCCUGUGUGUAAGGACCUUAACCCAAAAGGUGUGAUUUUAGACAAACAGACUUCACGUCCUCGCUCUGCCUUUCCUGUCUUCUCUAGAACAUCUCUCUAAAGACACUUGACUGUUUCCUCUCUUUGCAUCAAGUGCGGGACGUGGGGGUAGCAGAGUGUACAACCUAACAUCACGGGGGUGAGGUGUAGCUUAUGCCGGUAAAACACUUUCUAUUGAACUCCACAUACAGAGAAUUUCACAGUAAUACAGAGUAAACUGAUGAAUACCUUCAGAGUCUUUUUGACACUUCGACCUGUUCAGUCUUUAUGUCAGCUCUACGCUCUCCAUCUUUCACCUGUCACCAUUCCUCUACUGCUCCUGACAGGAGGUGGUGGUUACACAUAUAUGCUCCUGUGUGUGUGUGUGUGUGUGUGUGUGUGUGUGUGUGAUAACGGCCUGUAUGAAGCCGGAUUGACAGACAAAGGCCUAAUCGCUCCUCGGCUCCGGCAGCCAAACAGCUCAGAGGAAGUAUUGACCCAAAAGCACCAUAAUCCCCUUCACCUAACGCGGGCAAUUUCAUGUAAUACCUGUAAUAACACGCGUUUAGCUCCAAGUAGUCGUCAAAAGAGCGCCGAGCAUCUGAUUUUAAGAGGUGAGCGCUUUGAAUAAAAGAGACCUGAAGAGUGUAUCAAUCUGUAAUAACAACAUCACGGCCCUGGACUGGCUUUUCUUUUCAAAAUCUCCUCGUCUCUCCCUCUUUGUGUCUAAAUGUGCAGCUCCGGUGACAUCCAGACUUGUUUUAAAGAAACAUAUGGAGGCUCAGAUGGUAAAGAAAAGCCAUGUCAAGCACAGGUUCUCAUUUUCCUUUAGUUCACAUGUGGAUAUCUGACAUUUGAAAUGCCUGAAGGUUGAGGUUAGAUACUGUUUGUGCCUCACUUGUCAGUUUUAUGCUCUCUGCUGUCAGUAGGGGUUUUGUACCAGUGUUGCGAAAAUCGUGGAAACAGCAGAGGCACGGAGGCUGGGAUUUCCUCAGAAGUUGACAGAAAGAAAGGAUCGUUAACACUCGAGAGUUUUUUAACCAAAGAUGAAGUAAAAUUUUGGGUAACGUGCACAAUUUACGCCGUCUUAUACUACCCUCAGACCAGGACUCUUCUACUACAGAGUCAUGCUGUUGUAAUCCCUGUUGUCAGAAUGUGGUUUGUCAUAGUCUCGCAGAAAAAGUCCCUGAAAAAGUCAUUGUCUGGAUCUCAACAGAUGUUGCUCCUAAAUCUGUAGAUAUGCAGCAUUUUUGUCCCAUUGCCAAAAUUUUCAAAAUAAGUUGCUGGAACUGAUUUUAGAAUGAGAAUAUAUGUUUCUGGGAACGCCCUAAAUUAACAGUUUUCUGGGGAAGUAUCCACAGAUCACUACGCUCAGUGUUUAAUACUCAAAUACCCCCUGAUUUCGCUACCUUGUUUCUAGGAAGGGUUGAAUGCCUGAGCCAGUUGAGAGAUACAAAACUAAUAUCUGAUGAUCCCGUGCCAGUCCUCCGCCCAAGCUGGGAGACUGGCACGGGAUAGUCUUGGAGAUCUUUAGAAUGGAAAAGCUCACAUACCAGAUAAGAAAACAGGAGGAUAAAUUUUAUCAAAUUUGGAACAAAUGGAUAACGCAUAUCGCCCCUCUAAGUGCAGAUUUCAUAUGAUCCCGCUGGCUCCCCUGCUCUAAUGUAGAGUGCUUUUACAGAAAAUCUGAGUUUCUCUUUUUUUUUUUUUUUUUUUUUUUCUUGUUACCCUCACUCAGCACAUUUGUAAAUAUUUUCGUUUGGUGGUUUCUUAUUUAAAUUUUUUUUUUAAAUGUAUUUAUUUAUUUUUAGUUUAUUUAUUUAUUUUUGGUGCUGUUUUUUUUUUUUAAUUUAUGUAUUUUUCAUUUAUUUAUUUAUUUUAGGUUCUGUUUUAUUUAUUUAUUUUUCAUUUAUUUAUUUAUUUAUUUUUGGUGCUGUUUUUUAUUUUUUUUUUAUUUUUUUAUUUUUUCAUUUAUUUUUUUUAUUUUAGGUUCUUGGUUGCACAGUGGAAGUCAGGAUGUUGAUCUUCCUCCCAAGAAUAUGCCCUCGACGGGGGAAAGGUUAAGGACACUGACUAUAAUGGACAUGGGGAAGGACGCAAUCUACCCAAGAUGUUGGUUAAAAACAACAUGGAAUAUCGUUUCUGUUGAUGUUGUUUCUCUUUAAUAAAGAAAUAAUUAUAAAAAAAAAGAGAAUAAAGCUGUGAAAUUGCUCAUUUUCAAUGACUAAUAUGCUGUUUUGCACCUUUUUCAUUUAAAUUAAGAUUUCAAAUGAUUUGCAAUCCAUCAAAUUCUGCUGUUAUCAACAUUUAACACAACUCAACGUCUUAUUUUGAAUGGUGUUCUUCAAAUUUCUGCUGUUUUGGGGGUUUUUAUGCACAAGAAGUAAGAAACUCUUCAAAUGUUUUCUUUGAAUAGUUUAGAUUCUCAUUUCUGAUGCAACCCUGGAAAGCCUGGAGAAUUCACAUGCAGGCUUUCUGACACAUUAGCCAGCAUCUUUCUGGCUUCAGCUGCAGAAAUUUAACCGGAGCCUGAAUAUGCGUUGCAUCAUUCUCAUCCCCGAGUUUAAAUCGACCCUGUUUUUUUUUUUUUUGCACCAUGCAUUAAAUUUCUCCCCCUAUUUAUAGGAGACAAAUUUCUUUGGCAGUGGAUAAAACUUUCAACGGUAAUGAUUCAUCAGAGCUGGAGCCCGCAUACUUUCAGGCUGUGUGUUUUGCUGCUGCACACUGAGUGUGUAUAAUGUGAGGCUUAGCCAGGAGGAGAAGUGGUGCAGAUGAUGGAGCAGGUGGUAUUUUCUGUUUGUGCUGGCCUACAAAUACAAAAAAAUGACAGGACAGAUGGAGUAACAAUCAUUCAGAGCAGGUUUAAAAUAUUACUGCCACACUGUUAAGUCCGAUAAAUGAGAAGUUUAAUCAGAAACCUUAUCAGUGACAUCGCCUCGAUCAUAGCAGUCUGCGUUUACACUCUUAAACACACCUUUUUUAAGGCGGAUUUGUUCCAUGUGUCUGAUAUAAAUCAACCUGCUCGUCCUCACAAUAAAACACACACUGCACUCACACACCCUUCCUGCGUGUGUGUGUGUGAGAGUCAGAUAGUAAGAGGCCUCUAUCAUCAAUCUGCAUAUUAGCGCUGGACCGUCCCUUUAAUUUCCUACAGCGGACGAUAACCAUCACGUCGUCUCUGCCUCUCACAGACUCAGACUUUAUAAGUGUGUGUGCGGCUCUGUUUGUGUGUGAAGAGGUUGUUGGCUCACGCAUGUAUUGAUCUGCUAUUGAUUUAGGUUUAAGUGAAAUGAUGUGUGAGAUAUUAAAAGCAUCGACGAGGGAGCGGAGAGGACAAACAAGCCGUCUGAGGAGAUCAGAAACAUCAUUCAAUCAUUUAAAAUCAUUACUCGACCAAAACAAACAUUAUCUCUACAUUAUUAGCUCCCACAGGUGAUUGACUGUGUGUGUGUGUGUGUGUGUGUGUGUGUGUGUGUGUGUGUGUUUUUCAAUGUUAGUGUUUGCUCUGCGUGUCACUCAGGUGCACCCGUCAGCUCCAGAGCAAUGAUUGUUUCACCUUAAUUAACUCUGUGAGGUCCAGGUAUGUGGCCUCGCUGCAGCCUGCGUGAAUGUGCGUGAGUGUGUGUGUGUGUGUGAGUGUGUGUGUGUUUGCAUUCAGUUGUAGCACAUUGCUAGCAAGAGACGAAUGCUAAUCUCCGUCGUGCCAUUAUUCCCAGAGACCUUGGGUGAGACGAGGAGAUGGAGGUAGAUAACGAGGGGAGAAAGAGACGAUGCAGGGAGGAAGGUUAUGAAUGAAGCUUUUGUGAGUGUGUGUGUGUGUGAGGAGAAAGAGUGUGUGUGCAUUAGUGGUAGAAAAGAAAGGUAAAGCAAAUUAGAAGUAUGAGAGGAAGAAGCAAAGAGGGGCGUUACAUGUGGUUUGCAUUGUGCGUCUUCAUUUCUUCAAGGCCAGAGAGAGACAAAGAUGUUUCUGUCUUCAGAAUGUAUACUGAGUGCAAAACAAGGUUACGGUGAGGUGAUAUGAAGGUUUAGCUGAGCCACAAGUCCGUUUAGGAGGAGGGAAGAGUUGGCGAAGGCGAUUGUAUCAUCGUCAAAAAGCAGGUUUGCUGCGUAAGAUGUUAAUAAAAACUGAAUUUGAUGGUUUGCAAGUCAUUGAAAGCCGACAUUUUUAAUCGGGAAUAGAUCUAUGACGACUACUGUCCCAUGGCCUUACGAUACUACGCCACAGACUUGUUAUCAGCUCAGAGUUCAAAGACAGAAUCUGGGGGAUCAUAUUGGGACAGGAUGGAUCUGCAGUAGAAGAGUCCUGCUGCUAAUCUGCCCUGACUUGUCGACCAUUAAAAACAGCUUUAAAUGUGGUGCGAAUCAUCAAAGUUGGUUUUAACCGAUAAUCUACACACACCCCAGCUAAAAAACAUAAAUGACACGAGGGAAGAAUAUGUCUGGAUUCUGGAGUCCACCCUUUGUUAAUGACACCUCCAUCUCAACGCCAGUAAGACAAAAGAGAUGGUUGUGGAUUUCUGCAGGAGGAGGACACCUCAGACUGUUCCAGUGAACAUCCAGGGUCUGGACAUCGAGAUGGUGGAGUCUUACAGGUUCCUGGGUGUCCACCUCAACAAUAAACUGGACUGGUCAACCAACACAGACGUCCUGUACAAGUAAGGGCCAAAGUCGUCUCCACCUGCUGAGGAGACUGAGGUCUUUUGGAGUGUGCAGGACUCUGCUCAGGACUUUCUAUGACUCUGUGGUAGCAUCUGCACUUUUCUAUGCAGUGGUCUGAAGGCCAGUUCUGUCCUGGACUGUUCUUUGGACUCCCUGGAGGUGGUGGGUGAGAGGAGGAUGUUUACAAAGCUUGUAUCCAUCAUGGACAAUCCCUCUCGCCGACUGCACCAGACUGUGGGGGCUUUAAGCAGCUCCUUCAGCAGCAGACUGAGACUUCCACCUUCCUACCGCAGAUCAUUCUUGCGGAAGAAGAAUUUUAGAGGUAAAAUGAAAAAUUCAUAUUUUGGUCUGAAAAAAAACCCCGACAUAGUAUACUAUGACGAAAGUUUCAGAUUUUAGGCUGAAAAAAAAAUUCAGAUUUUAAGAUGAAAAAACAUGCCAUAGUAUUGUCUGAUCACAUUGCCAUAGAAUAGGAUGUUAAAAAUGUAAUAUUUUAUAUGUUUUAUAUGUUAUAUUUUAUAAGUUCUUAAUAUUAGGAUCUUUAUUUUUAUAACUGCAUUUUUGCACUUUCUUUGUCUGUGAUGCUGCUGUGACAAAAUUUCCCCCAUGGGGGAUCAAUAAAGGAAUAUUCUAUUCUUCUAUUCUAUUCUAUAAAAAGUCUGUUUUCCGUUUUUAAACCCAUAAAUAAAUAAAAACCUCCCUCUGUUCAAAGCUGUAGGCAGAGUAAAGGGAAGAAAAGAGUCAUGUCUCUCUUCAACGACCUCAUCUUUUAUCUAUUUCAUUCUUUUGAGCUUUAUUUUCUUUUCAUUCAUGAAAAAAUUUUAUAUCCCUUAAAGAAAGCUGCAUGAGUUUUCAACAGAUCAAACGGAAAACCUCUGUCUGUGUUCUUUGUUUUCCUUUCGCCUCGAUUUUUCUCACAUUUCUUGAAAAAUUUUUUAAAAAAUUCAGGUGCUCCCCUUUUCUUUGUUGUAGUCCAGUGUGAAUUCUAGUAACCCAAAUCUUCUGGUAUUUUCCUGUUUUCCAGGUCAGAGAUGAUCAUGGUGUCUGCGCUGAAGUUGACACAAAUACCUCAGAAAAAAUCCAGUCCUGUGCCUGAUGUGAACCCUGUAUCUGAAGGUAAGAGAUGCCAGAGAUUUUUCAUGAAAUGAACCCUCUGAGUUUGUCCUAAUAAGCGCUCUCAUUGUCCGUCUUUGUCGCUUUAUAAAAGUGAAAUUUCAAGAUCUGCUCUAAGUCAUAAAUGUGAAAGACAUUACAUCCUUCUGUGGUCAAGCUCUGCUUAGAUUCUCGCUCUAUCAAAAGUUCUUUCUUUUCCUUCCAUAUACGCUUAUACUGUGGACAAGUGUGUAUGAGUGUGUGUCUUUCAAUGAGAUAAACACUUGAGCUGCAGAUUCAGCGCAGAAAGGAAAUCUAUAAUGUUUAAUACCAAGGUCAGAGUCAUUGUUUCUCCCUCUCUGCCUGCUCGCUCCAGCACAAUACGACUACUUUCUCCUCCUCGGUGAAGAAAAGUUUCCAAUCAAACACUGCAGCUGGAGGUGAAGAGUCAGUCCCUCCAUCUGCAGCUCAAAUCAGCGGCUAAUAACUCAACGUCCUUUCACUGAGAGAUUCUUUAGUGGUGGUUGGAUGUGGGAGAAAUUUCUGCACGUUUUGUUUGACUGAAAGCUAAAACUUCUUCUAUAGUGAGUUUGAACUUUGGAAACACAGACACAGAAAACUAUGCCUUGAAGGACGGGGUCGGUGAUAUUUGUAUUUUUGUUUCAAAAAUUCCAAUUAAAGAACCAAAACUAACAAUAAAUUUAGCUGACAUGUUGCUCAGUGCCACAGACCUCAGGUUUUAUUCAAAACAGUUUAUUCUCAGUUUUCUAAGGCCCCAACGACACGAAUGUGGAUAUAUUUCAAACCGCACAUAUUUAUGUCGGAUUAGGCCUCCCUACCACACCAAAACGGGAGUUUGGAACACUCAAACCGGAUAAAUCUGAAUCUGAAAAAACAGGUGGAGAAAUUUUUUUUAAGUGGCACUAGAUAGGAUUGAGUUUGAAGCCUACGUGUGGACGCAGAUAUUUUUGAGAACUAACACGUGUGGACAGAUACAUUUAUUUAGACGGGAGUACAAAAAUAAGUUUGCCUUCUCCAGCUGCCUAAUAUGGUAAAAGCUAGAUUUCACUACGGAGCUAGAUUGCCUGUCGAAUUUAAAAUCACUGUCCAUCUUAAAACCCAAAUUUGAGACGGUUGGCUUUAAAUAGUCUGCUAAAAUACCCCAGUCUACAAUCAGCUGAUUGGCCAUGUUGGAUAUACCGGUGAAUCUGACGUCGCAACAACACGAAAUCUGAUCGGUCAGAAGUGGGAACAUAGUACACAAAUUCGGCCGUGAUACGAAAAAAAUAAAUGCCGCAAUAUCGCAGGACAGGAGAACAUCGCUGAUGUGAACGCUUGUAUUAACAGGAUACGGGUUCGAAAAAAUAUAUUGACGUCCGAAAUAAUCACAAUAAAAAAACGUUCCUGGUGUGAAAGGACUUUUAGACUCACCUGGAUCAAACGGACAUAAGUUACACGACGAUCUUUUUUUUUUUUUUGAGGGUUCAUCUCACUGAAGUACGCCAGAGUGCAGCUUUCUGAUAACUGUUUACAGAGAAACUGAGACUCAGAUGAACAGGCGCCCCUUUUUGGGAUGUUAUGUACAGAAUCAGAAAUGAUUCUGAUUCUCUUCUGACCCCCUAAUACAAUACUCCUUGCUGUACUUUGUUGUAGUACUCAUCAGCUGGAGUUACUCCACCUCUACUGCUGUAUUUUUUCCCAUUUCAUGAAUCAGUCAUGUUUGAUUUCAACACCUUGUAUUAGGAGUUGCCCAUUUGUCUUCCACAAGGCCCAGUAUCUUUCAUUUGUCUCUUUUGUGUUCCAUUUUCCACCUGAUAGAGUCAGAGAGAGCUGAGUUUAGUCCCCUCGGCCCCCCUCCUCACCCCUUCCUCCCCCUGUUGUCCUCCUGUCAUGCUCCUGAUCCCUCCAUCGCUGUCAUGUCACAGCUUUUAUCCCGUCACCCUGAGAGCGCGCGCCUCCUUAUUGUCCUGCUGCUCUCUGCUCUGAUUAGGGUCAGGGGGUCAACCGGGGACUCAUCAUUAGCUGAGAGCGUGCACGUGCAUACAUGUGCAGGUGAACAUGUGUGCACGACAUAAUAAGGUGCUUCAGUGAUCGAGAAAGAGGGGAAAUUUGCAGAGAGGGAACAAAGACUUUGAAGAACAAAUGAAGAAAGUGUGUGAGGAAUUCAGUUUUGUACAUUUAUCAGAUUAUUCGAGGUUUUUUUGCUUAAAUACAGAAAAAAAACGAGUCAUUUCAGCUUGAAAUCUUUGACGUGUGCCUGAGAUAUGAGCGACAAAAUCAAAAGAAAUAAAGAAAUUCCUUCUUCUAAGUUUGCAAAUGAAUGUUAAGCAGAAAAAAAAUGUUAAUAAAUAAAAAUCCUGGUGAGAUUGUAAAUCAGUGAUGCCAAGUCAUGUAGGACUUUAUAUACAGUCAAUGGUGGGUCCUUCUUUUUACAGAUUUUUAACCUGAAUUUAAAAAGUUUCUGUCACUUGGUGAGGGGUGUCUCGUCCUGGUUUUUCUGUCUUGUCAUUUUCAUGUUUUAUUUUGAAAAAUAACUCUCCUCUCGUUUCAGGUCACUUGCCCUUCCUCUCGUGUCUCCGGUCUGACGUCUCCCCUGAUUCCUGGUUGUUUCCACCUGUUCCCCAUUAACCCCAUGUGUCUUAUAGUCGGCGUCUCCCUUUGUCCUGUACCAGUGUCUCGUUUAUUCGUGUUCCUCCAGCCUUCAUGUCCACCGCCGUGCCCGAUAACCAUGUUUGUAUUUUGGAUAAUCCUUGAUUCCUCUUUAGAAGAGUGAUUUUCUGUUGUAGUUUUUCCUCUUUAGUUUCUAGUCUUGGUUUGUUUUGUUUCUGUGUUUUGUCUGUUUGCCAUCAGUAGAGAUAUAGAAGGUUUUCAUAGCAAAAUAAAGCGUUUGUUGAUCUUUGAACCUCUGCGUCUGAGUCCUCCCUUAAGCCCAGGCCUGACAGUUUCUAACUUUGUGUCAGGUUUAUUUGAAUAUGUUGCUGUAUGUGAUCAUUUCAGAUGCUCGGGCUGCUGUAAAACUCAAAUGCUGCAGACAGAGGGUCUUUUCACCAAAAAUAUAAAACACUGAGAAACAACAACACAUUUUGCGGUGGCUGCAUGUGUCUGCAUAUGGCAGCCGCGGUGGCAAAUGUGGAGUUUCUUCCCUUGCUCCUGGAUGAGCCGUCUUCACUGUUGAUGGUCAAUGAUGAGGUGACUUUUUUUCAUUUUAAUAAACCACAACAUGAUUAGAAUAACUUUAAACCCAUGCUCUAUAAGGUGUGCUACUGUGUGUUUCAGACAUUCAGUGGAAACACAGCCCUGCACAUCAUCAGCUCUUUGAGGAGCCUCGACACAAAAAGGAGCUGACCCCGGGACAAGGGAGUGUCCUGCCGUCCCAAAUAAUAAUGCAUCAGAUUUCAUAUAGCGCUUUAUCACAGACCCUCAAAGCGCUUUACAUUGGAUACAUCAUUCAUUCGCUCACACAGUCACACUUUGGUGGUGGUAAGCUACCUUAAUAGUCACAGCUGCCCUUGGGGGGCGGAAACGUGGCUGCCAUUUUGUGCCUACGGCCUCUCCGACCACCACCACACAACACUCACAAUCAUACACCAGUGGAGGACACACACUGGGAGCAAGGUGGGUUAAGUGUCUUGACCAAGGACACAAUGGGAUAGGGAUAGGGGGGAAUCGAACCGCCAACCUUCCAGUUAUUGAACGACCGCUCUACCGCCUGAGCUACUGCCGCCCAGAUGGACCUGUAGGUGAAAUCGUAUGGUGUGUAUAUAUGUCAAUAAUACUGCAGUCAACUCCUUUUUCCCCCUGGGAUAUUUGUUCACAGUGAUAGUCUGGAUUGACUCUUUUUUUCAGGUGCAGAGGAUCCUUAAAGGGAAGUACUGCCGAGCUUAAAUCAAGUUCAGAAACGCUGUCAGUCAGACAUUCAUACUAUAAUUCUGUUUCCUCAGUCAGUUUUCUUAUCCUCUGAGUAAAGGGAAAAUGUCUAGAAUGUCCAGUGUCUAGAAUGGAGAGUGAAAGAGGAAACAAACACAGUACUCCUGUGUCUCCACAUAGCUCAGUGGGUAAGGAGACUGACUAGGACUCCCAAGGUCGUGGGUUCAAGCCAAGUCCAGGUCCAGGUGAAAUUUUAAAGUCUUGUGUGUAAAAAGAAGAGGGAAAUAGGAAACAAACAGUGUUCUCUCAUGUGUCCACAUAGCUCAGAGGAUAAGAAGACAGGCUGGCACUCCUAAGGUUGGGGCUUCAAGCCUUAUCAGGGGCAAAGUGAAUUUUAAAGUCUUGUGUCUAAAAAGUAGAGUGAAAGAGGAAAAAAAUGCUAAACUGCUCACUGUCCACAUGGCUCAGAGGGUAAGAAGACAGACUAGGGCUCCUGAGGUUGCCGGUUCAAGCCCUUAUCAGGGCUGAGGUGAAUUUUAAAGUCUAGUGUCUACAGAGGAUACUCAAAUAGGAAAAAAACGCAAAGCACCUGUAUGUCUGUGUGGCGCAGAGGAUAAGGAUGCUGGCCUUGCACUCAGAAAGUCGUGGGUUCAAACCUUAUCCCUGACAAGUUUAAAAGUCCAGGAGCCAAAGUACCAGGAUAAAAGGGCGCGACGUUCUACUCAAUUGGUAUCCCGUGGCACAGGGGGUAUGCAACUGACACCCAAAUACCAAAUGCUGGUCAGGCGGGCAGCCCUAGUUCAAUACCCACGCGGCACGCAGGAGAUCCUGAAGCAAAUCCUGGGGAACCAGGCCCUGGGGGGCGGUGUUUCCUGAGAGCUAAAACAGGGGGGUUAUGAAGCAUGUGAACUUUUGAAGAAACCACGUCAUAAUAUUUUAGCGGGAAAAUGAAAAAUUCAUAUUUUGGUCCAAAAAAAAACGACAUAGUAUAUGUCGAAAAUUUCAGAUUUUAGAGUGAAAAUAAAAUUCUGUUUUUGGGAUGAAAAAACAUGCCAUAGUAUUGUCUGAUCAAAUUGCCAUUGAAUAGGAUGUUAAAAAUGUAAUAUUUUAGCGGGAAAAUGAAAAAUUCAUAUUUUGGUCCGAAAUAAAAAACGACAUAGUAUACUAUGUCAAAAAUUUCAGAUUUUAGAGUGAAAAUAAAAUUGUGUUUUUGGGAUGAAAAAACAUGCCAUAGUAUUGUCUGAUCAAAUUGCCAUAGAAUAGGAUGUUAAAAAUGUAAUAUUUUAGCGGGAAAAUGAAAAAUUCAUAUUUUGGUCCGAAAUAAAAAACGACAUAGUAUACUAUGUCAAAAAUUUCAGAUUUUAGAGUGAAAAUAAAAUUCAGAUUUUAGGAUGACAAAACAUGCCAUAGUAUUGUCUGAUAAAAUUGCCAUAGAAUAGGAUGUUAAAAAUGUAAUAUUUUAGCGGGAAAAUAAAAAAUUCAUAUUUUGGUCGGAAAAAAAACGACAAGGUAUACUAUGUCGAAAAUUUCGGAUUUUAGAGUGAAAAAAAAAUUCAGAUUUUAGGAUGACAAAACAUGCCAUAGUAUUGUCUGAUCAAAUUGCCAUAGAAUAGGAUGUUAAAAAUGUAAUAUUUUAGCGGGAAAAUGAAAGAUUCAUAUUUUGGUCCGAAAAAAAAACGACAUAGUAUACUAUGUCGAAAAUUUUAGAUUUUAGGCUGAAAAAAAAAAAUUCAGAUUUUAGGCUGAAAAAAAAAUUCAGAUUUUAGGAUGAAAAAACAUGCCAUAGUAUUGUCUGAUCAAAUUGCCAUGGAAUAGGAUGUUAAAAAUGUAAUUUUUCAGUGGGAAAAUGAAAAAUUCAUAUUUUGGUCCGAAAAAAAACAACAUAGUAUACUAUGUCGAAAAUUUCAGAUUUUAGAGUGAAAAUAAAAUUCAGAUUUUAGGAUGAAAAAAAAUGCCAUAGUAUUGUCUGAUCAAAUUGCCAUAGAAUAGGAUGUUAAACAUGUAAUAUUUUAGCGGGAAAAUAAAAAAUUCAUAUUUUGGUCCGAAAAAAAAACGACAUAGUACACUAUGUCGAAAAUUUCAGAUUUUAGAGUGAAAAUAAAAUUCAGUUUUUGGGAUGAAAAAACAUGCCAUAGUAUUGUCUGAUCAAAUUGCUAUAGAAUAGGAUGUAAAAAAAGCUAUAUUUUAGAGAGAAAAUGAAAGAAUCAUAUUUUGGUGCAAUAAAAAAAAAAAAAGACAUAGUAUACUAUGACCAAGAUUUCAGAUAUUUAGGCUGAAAAAAAAAUUCAGAUUUUAGGAUGGAAAAACAUGUCAGAGUUUUGUCUGAUCAAAUUGCCAUAGAAUAGGAUGUUAAAAAUGUAAUAUUUUAGCGGGAAAAUGAAAAAUUCAUAUUUUGGUCCCAAAUAAAAAACGACAUAGUAUACUAUGUCGAAAAUUUCCGAUUUUAGGCAGAAAAAAAAUUCAGAUUUUAGGAUGAAAAAACAUGCCAUAGUAUUGUCUGAUCAAAUUGCCAUAGAAUAGGAUGUUAAAAAUGUAAUAUUUCAGCGGGAAAAUGAAAAAUUCAUAUUUUGGUCCGAAAUAAAAAACGACAUAGUAUACUAUGUCGAAAAUUUCAGAUUUUAGAGUGAAAAUAAAAUUCUGUUUUUGGGAUGAAAAAACAUGCCAUAGUAUUGUCUGAUCAAAUUGCUAUAUAAUAGGAUGCUAAAAAUGUAAUAUUUUAGCGUCAAAAUGAAAAAUUCAUAUUUUGGUACAAAAAAAACAACAUAGUGUACUAUGUCGAAAAUUUCAGAUUUUAGAGUGAAAAUAAAAUUCAGAUUUUAGGAUGAAAAAACAUGCCAUAGUGUUGUCUGAUCAAAUUGCCAUAGAAUAGGAUGUUAAAAAUGUAAUAUUAUAGCGGGAAAAUGAAAAAUUCAUAUUUUGGUCCGAAAAAAAAACGACAUAGUAUACUAUGUCGAAAAUUUCAGAUUUUAGAGUGAAAAUAAAAUUCUGAUUUUGGGAUGAAAAAACAUGUCAGAAUUUUGUCUGAUCAAAUUGCCAUAGAAUAGGAUGUUAAAAAUGUAAUAUUUUAGCGGGAAAAUGAAAAAUUCAUAUUUUGGUCCGAAAAAAAAACGACAUAGUAUACUAUGUCGAAAAUUUCAAAUUUUAGAAUGAAAAUAAAAUUCUGUUUUUGGGAUGAAAAAACAUGCCAUAGUAUUGUCUGAUCAAAUUGCCAUAUAAUAGGAUGCUAUAAAUGUAAUAUUCUAGCGGGAAAAUGAAAAAUUCAUAUUUUGGUACGAAAAAAAACAACAUAGUGUACUAUGUCGAAAAUUUCAGAUUUUAGAGUGAAAAUAAAAUUCAGAUUUUAGGAUGACAAAACAUGCCAUAGUAUUGUCUGAUCAAAUUGCCAUAAAAUAGGAUGUUAAAAAUGUAAUAUUUUAGCGGGAAAAUGAAAGAUUCAUAUUUUGGUCCGAAAAAAAACGACAUAGUAUACUUUGUCGAAAAUUUUAGAUUUUAGGCUGAAAAAAAAAAAUUCAGAUUUUAGGCUGAAAAAAUAAUUCAGAUUUUAGGAUGAAAAAACAUGCCAUAGUAUUGUCUGAUCAAAUUGCCAUAGAAUAGGAUGUUAAAAAUGUUAUAUUUUAGCGGGAAAAUGAAAAAUUCAUAUUUUGGUCCGAAAAAUAAACGACAUAGUAUACUAUGUCGAAAAUUUCGGAUUUUAGAGUGAAAAUAAAAUUCAGAUUUAAGGAUGACAAAACAUGUCAUAGUAUUGUCUGAUCAAAUUGCCAUAGAAUAGGAUGUUAAAAAUGUAAUAUUUUAGCGGGAAAAUGAAAAAUUCAUAUUUUGGUCCGAAAAAAAACGACAUAGUAUACUAUGUCGAAAAUUUCGGAUUUUAGAGUGAAAAUAAAAUUCAGAUUUUAGGAUGAAAAAACAUGCCAUAGUAUUGUCUGAUCAAAUUGCCAUAGAAUAGGAUGUUAAAAAUGUAAUAUUUUAGCGGGAAAGAUGAAAAAUUCAUAUUUUGGUCCGAAAAAAAAACGACAUAGUAUACUAUGUCGAAAAUUUCAGAUUUUAGGCUGAAAAAAGAAUUCAGAUUUUAGGAUGAAAAAACAUGCCAUAGUAUUGUCUGAUCAAAUUGCCAUAGAAUAGGAUGUUAAAAAUGUAAUAUUUUAGCGGGAAAAUGAAAAAUUCAUAUUUUGGUCCGAAAAAAAAAAAUAGUAUACUAUGUCGAAAAUUUCAGAUUUUAGAGUGAAAAUAAAAUUCAGAUUUUAGGAUGAAAAAACAUGCCAUAGUAUUGUCUGAUCAAAUUGCCAUAGAAUAGGAUGUUAAAAAUGUAAUAUUUUAGCGGGAAAAUGAAAAAUUCAUAUUUUGGUCCGAAAAAAAACGACAUAGUAUACUAUGUCGAAAAUUUCAGAUUUUAGAGUGAAAAUAAAAUUCAGAUUUUAGGAUGAAAAAACAUGUCAUAGUAUUGUCUGAUCAAAUUGCCAUAGAAUAGGAUGUUAAAAAUGUAAUAUUUUAGCGGGAAAAUGAAAAAUUCAUAUUUUGGUCCGAAAUAAAAAACGACAUAGUAUACUAUGUCGAAAAUUUCAGAUUUUAGGCUGAAAAAAGAAUUCAGAUUUUAGGAUGAAAAAACAUGCCAUAGUAUUGUCUGAUCAAAUUGCCAUAGAAUAGGAUGUUAAAAAUGUAAUAUUUUAGCAGGAAAAUGAAAAAUUCAUAUUUUGGUUCGAAAAAAAAAAACGACAUAGUAUACUAUGUCGAAAAUUUCAGAUUUUAGGCUGAAAAAAAAAUUCAGAUUUUAGGAUGAAAAAACAUGCCAUAGUACUGUCUGAUCAAAUUGCCAUAGAAUAGGAUGUUGAAAAUGUAAUAUUUUAGCGGGAAAAUAAAAAAUUCAUAUUUUGGUCGGAAAAAAAACGACAUAGUAUACUAUGUCGAAAAUUUCAGAUUUUAGGCUGAAAAUAAAAUUCAGAUUUUAGGAUGAAAAAACAUGCCAUAGUAUUGUCUGAUCAAAUUGCCAUAGAAUAGGAUGUUAAAAAUGUAAUAUUUUAGCGGGAAAAAUGAAAAAUUCAUAUUUUGGUCCGAAAUAAAAAACGACAUAGUAUACUAUGUCGAAAAUUUCAGAUUUUAGGCUGAAAAAAUAAUUCAGAUUUUAGGAUGAAAAAACAUGCCAUAGUAUUGUCUGAUCAAAUUGCCAUAGAAUAGGAUGUUAAAAAUGUAAUAUUUUAGCGGGAAAAUGAAAAAUUCAUAUUUUGUUCCGAAAUAAAAAACGACAUAGUAUACUAUAUCGAAAAUUUCAGAUUUUAGGCUGAAAAAAGAAUUCAGAUUUUAGGAUGAAAAAACAUGCCAUAGUAUUGUCUGAUCAAAUUGCCAUAGAAUAGGAUGCUAAAAAUGUAAUAUUUUAGUGGGAAAAUGAAAAAUUCAUAUUUUGGUACGAAAAAAAACAUCAUAGUAUACUAUGUCGAAAAUUUCAGAUUUUAGGCUGAAAAAAUAAUUCAGAUUUUAGGAUGAAAAAACAUGCCAUAGUAUUGUCUGAUCAAAUUGCCAUAGAAUAGGAUGCUAAAAAUGUAAUAUUUUAGUGGGAAAAUGAAAAAUUCAUAUUUUGGUACGAAAAAAAACAUCAUAGUAUACUAUGUCGAAAAUUUCAGAUUUUAGGCUGAAAAAAAAAUUCAGAUUUUAGGAUGAAAAAACAUGCCAUAGUAUUGUCUGAUCAAAUUGCCAUAGAAUAGGAUGUUAAAAAUGUAAUAUUUUAGCGGGAAAAUGAAAAAUUCAUAUUUUGGUCCAAAAAAAACGACAUGGUAUACUAUGUCGAAAAUUUCAGAUUUUAGGCUGAAAAAAAAAUUCAGAUUUUAGGAUGAAAAAACAUGCCAUAGUAUUGUCUGAUCAAAUUGCUAUAGAAUAGGAUGUUAAAAAUGUAAUAUUUUACCGGGAAAAUAAAAAAUUCAUAUUUUGAUCGGAAAAAAAACGACAUAGUAUACUAUGUGGAAAAUUUCAGAUUUUAGGCUGAAAAAAGAAGUCAGAUUUUAGGAUGAAAAAACAUGCCAUAGUAUUGUCUGAUCAAAUUGCCAUAGAAUCGGAUUUUAAAAAUGUAAUAUUUUAGCGGGAAAAUAAAAAAUUCAUAUUUUGGUCCGAAAAAAAAACCCCACAUGGUAUACUAUGUCGAAAAUUUCGGAUUUUAGAGUGAAAAUAAAAUUCAGAUUUUAGGAUGAAAAAACAUGUCAUAGUAUUGUCUGAUCAAAUUGCCAUAGAAUAGGAUGUUAAAAAUGUAAUAUUUUAGCGGGAAAAUGAAAAAUUCAUAUUUUGGUCCGAAAAAAAACGACAUAGUAUACUAUGUCGAAAAUUUCAGAUUUUAUAGUGAAAAUAAAAUUCAGAUUUUAGGAUGAAAAAACAUGCCAUAGUAUUGUCUGAUCAAAUUGCCAUAGAAUAGGAUGUUAAAAAUGUAAUAUUUUAGCGGGAAAAAUGAAAAAUUCAUAUUUUGGUCCGAAAAAAAAACCCCACAUGGUAUACUAUGUCGAAAAUUUCGGAUUUUAGAGUGAAAAUAAAAUUCAGAUUUUAGGAUGAAAAAACAUGUCAUAGUAUUGUCUGAUCAAAUUGCCAUAGAAUAGGAUGUUAAAAAUGUAAUAUUUUAGCGGGAAAAUGAAAAAUUCAUAUUUUGGUCCGAAAAAAAACGACAUAGUAUACUAUGUCGAAAAUUUCAGAUUUUAGGCUGAAAAAAUAAUUCAGAUUUUAGGAUGAAAAAACAUGCCAUAGUAUUGUCUGAUCAAAUUGCCAUAGAAUAGGAUGUUAAAAAUGUAAUAUUUUAGCGGGAAAAUGAAAAAUUCAUAUUUUGGUCCGAAAAAAAAACGACAUAGUAUACUAUGUCGAAAAUUCAGAUCUAAGGCUGAAAAAAUAAUUCAGAUUUUAGGAUGAAAAAACAUGCCAUAGUAUUGUCUGAUCAAAUUGCCAUAGAAUAGGAUGUUAAAAAUGUAAUAUUUUAGCGGGAAAAUGAAAAAUUCAUAUUUUGGUACGAAAAAAACGACAUAGUAUACUAUGUCGAAAAUUUCGUAUUUUAGAGUGAAAAUAAAAUUCAGAUUUUAGGAUGACAAAACAUGUCAUAGUAUUGUCUGAUCAAAUUGCCAUAGAAUAGGAUGUUAAAAAUGUAAUAUUUUAGCGGGAAAAUGAAAAAUUCAUAUUUUGGUCCGAAAAAAAAACGACAUAGUAUACUAGGUCGAAAAUUUCAGAUUUUAGGCUGAAAAAAGAAUUCAGAUUUUAGGAUGAAAAAACAUGCCAUAGUAUUGUCUGAUCAAAUUGCCAUAGAAUCGGAUUUUAAAAAUGUAAUAUUUUAGCGGGAAAAUAAAAAAUUCAUAUUUUGGUCCGAAAAAAAAACCCACAUAGUAUACUAUGUCGAAAAUUUCGGAUUUUAGAGUGAAAAUAAAAUUCAGAUUUUAGGAUGAAAAAACAUGUCAUAGUAUUGUCUGAUCAAAUUGCCAUAGAUUAGGAUGUUAAAAAUGUAAUAUUUUAGCGGGAAAAAUGAAAAAUUCAUAUUUUGGUCCGAAAUAAAAAACGACAUAGUAUACUAUGUCGAAAAUUUCAGAUUUUAGGCUGAAAAAAAAAUUCAGAUUUUAGGAUGAAAAAACAUGCCAUAGUAUUGUCUGAUCAAAUUGCCAUAGAAUAGGAUGUUAAAAAUGUAAUAUUUUAGCGGGAAAAUGAAAAAUUCAUAUUUUGGUACGAAAAAAAAAACGACAUAGUAUACUAUGUCGAAAAGUUCAGAUUUUAGGCUGAAAAAAAAAUUCAGAUUUUAGGAUGAAAAAACAUGCCAUAGUAUUGUCUGAUCAAAUUGCCAUAGAAUAGGAUGUUAAAAAUGUAAUAUUUUAGCGGGAAAAUGAAAAAUUCAUAUUUUGGUCCGAAAAAAAAAAACGACAUAGUAUACUAUGUCGAAAAUUUCAGAUUUUAGAGUGAAAAUAAAAUUCAGAUUUUAGGAUGAAAAAACGUGCCAUAGUAUUGUCUGAUCAAAUUGCCAUAGAAUAGGAUGUUAAAAAUGUAAUAUUUUAGCGGCAAAAUAAAAAAUUCAUAUUUUGGUCGGAAAAAAAACGACAUGGUAUACUAUGUCGAAAAUUUCGGAUUUUAGAGUGAAAAUAAAAUUCAGAUUUUAGGAAGACAAAACAUGCCAUAGUAUUGUCUGAUCAAAUUGUCAUAGAAUAGGAUGUUAAAAAUGUAAUAUUUUAGCGGGAAAAUGAAAAAUUCAUAUUUUGGUCCGAAAUAAAAAACGACAUAGUAUACUAUGUCCAAAAUUUCAGAUUUUAGGCUGAAAAAAGAAUUCAGAUUUUAGGAUGAAAAAACAUGCCAUAGUAUUGUCUGAUCAAAUUGCCAUAGAAUAGGAUGCUAAAAAUGUAAUAUUUUAGUGGGAAAAUGAAAAAUUCAUAUUUUGGUCCGAAAAAAAAAAACGACAUGGUAUACUAUGUCGAAAAUUUCAGAUUUUAGAGUGAAAAUAAAAUUCAGAUUUUAGGAUGAAAAAACGUGCCAUAGUAUUGUCUGAUCAAAUUGCCAUAGAAUAGGAUGUUAAAAAUGUAAUAUUUUAGCGGCAAAAUAAAAAAUUCAUAUUUUGGUCGGAAAAAAAACGACAUGGUAUACUAUGUCGAAAAUUUCGGAUUUUAGAGUGAAAAUAAAAUUCAGAUUUUAGGAAGACAAAACAUGCCAUAGUAUUGUCUGAUCAAAUUGCCAUAGAACAGGAUGUUAAAAAUGUAAUAUUUUAGCGGGAAAAUGAAAAAUUCAUAUUUUGGUCCGAAAAAAAACGACAUAGUAUACUAUGUCGAAAAUUUCAGAUUUUAGAGUGAAAAUAAAAUUCAGAUUUUAGGAUGACAAAACAUGUCAUAGUAUUGUCUGAUCAAAUUGCCAUAGAAUAGGAUGUUAAAAAUGUAAUAUUUUAGCGGGAAAAUGAAAAAUUCAUAUUUUGGUCCGAAAUAAAAAACGACAUAGUAUACUAUGUCGAAAAUUUCUGAUUUUAGGCUGAAAAUAAAAUUCAGAUUUUAGGAUGAAAAAACAUGCCAUAGUAUUGUCUGAUCAAAUUGCCAUAGAAUAGGAUGUUAAAAAUGUAAUAUUUUAGCGGGAAAAUGAAAAAUUCAUAUUUUGGUUCGAAAAAAAAAAACGACAUAGUAUACUAUGUCGAAAAUUUCAGAUUUUAGAGUGAAAAUAAAAUUCAGAUUUUAGGAUGAAAAAACAUGCCAUAGUAUUGUCUGAUCAAAUUGCCAUAGAAUAGGAUGCUAAAAAUGUAAUAUUUUAGCGGGAAAAUGAAAAAUUCAUAUUUUGGUCCGAAAAAAAACGACAUAGUAUACUAUGUUGAAAAUUUCAGAUUUUAGGCUGAAAAAAUAAUUCAGAUUUUAGGAUGAAAAAACAUGCCAUAGUAUUGUCUGAUCAAAUUGCCAUAGAAUAGGAUGUUAAAAAUGUAAUAUUUUAGCGGGAAAAUGAAAAAUUCAUAUUUUGGUCCGAAAAAAAAACGACAUAGUAUACUAUGUCGAAAAUUUCAGAUUUUAGGCUGAAAAAAGAAUUCAGAUCUUAGGAUGAAAAAACAUGCCAUAGUAUUGUCUGAUCAAAUUGCCAUAGAAUAGGAUGUUAAAAAUGUAAUAUUUUAGCGGGAAAAUGAAAAAUUCAUAUUUCCGUCCGGAAAAAAAAAAACAAAAUAGUAUACUAUGUCGAAAAUUUCAGAUUUUAGAGUGAAAAUAAAAUUCUGAUUUUAGGAUGAAAAAACAUGCCAUAGUAUUGUCUGAUCAAAUUGCCAUAGAAUAGGAUGUUAAAAAUGUAAUAUUUUAGCGGGAAAAUGAAAAAUUCAUAUAACCCCCCUGUUUUACCUCUCAGGAAACACCUGUGUCAAUAUCACUGUCGGCCCAUUCAUCUCCUGCGUGCUUUGUGGGUAUUGAACUAGGGCUGCACGCCUGACCAGCAUUUGGUAUUUGGGUGUCAGUUGCAUACCCCCUGUGCCACGGGAUACCUUCUGCACUUUGGGACGAACGUCGCGCCCUUUUAUCCUGGUACUUUGGCUCCUGGACUUUAAAAACUUGUCAGGGAUAAGGUUUGAACCCAUGACUUUCUGAGUGCAAGGCCAGCGUCCUUAUCCUCUGCGCCACACAAACAUACAGGUGCUUUGUGUUUUUUUCCUAUUUGAGUAUCCUCUGUAGACACUAGACUUUAAAAUUCACCUCAGCCCUGAUAAGGGCUUGAACCGGCAACCUCAGGAGCCCUAGUCUGUCUUCUUACCCUCUGAGCCAUGUGGACAGUGAGCAGUUUAGCAUUUUUUUCCUCUUUCACUCUACUUUUUAGACACAAGACUUUAAAAUUCACUUUGCCCCUGAUAAGGCUUGAACCCCCAACCUUAGGAGUGCCAGCCUGUCUUCUUUUCCUCUGAGCUAUGUGGACACAUUAGAGAACACUGUUUGUUUCCUAUUUAUAUCUUCUUUUUACACACAAGACUUGGGACCUGGACCUGGCCCUGGCUUGAACCCACGACCUUAGGAGUGCCAGUCAGUCUCCUUACCCACUGAGCUAUGUGGAGACACAGGAGUAUUUUGUUUGUUUCCUCUUUCACGCUCCAUUCUAGACACUCGACUUAAAAUUUUCCCUGUACUCAGAGGAUAAGAAAACUGACUGAGGAAUAAAGAACAAAGAAUGUGAUUUCUGAGCAUCGACCGCAUGUACACAAAGUAAAUAAUCAAUUGUAAAAUAUUUGCACCACUACAAUAACAAAAGCAAUGAAUGUAUUAAGUCAUGUAAAUAAAACUCUUUCUCUCUUGUUUAUGCACUUCUCAAACUUGUUAAUAUUUUCCGACAAAACAGGCCAGGUGUCAUGACUUUAAAAAAAAAUGUAGGAUCCAACAAGAGACACUUAGUUAAGUCCAUUUAAAACAUGGUUUUUAUUAGAGAUGUCAAAAAGUGAAAGUAAACCCACAUAAUCAUUAGUACUUUUAAAAUCGAACCCCUGAUAUCAUGCUUCGAGUCACCUUAAUCUGCUCUCAGAAACAUAAUCCAGAUUAAAAUAACUUUCAAACACUUUCAAGAAAGAGAGAAAGUUUAAUUCGGUUCAAACUUUACUCCUGUCUCACCAGAUUUCCACCUCAUGACCUUAGAUCUCCAUCUUUACAGAAACAUGUAGCUGUUGUUCUGAAUCUAAAUCAGUUUUCUAGAGGUCUUAUUUUCCUGAUGAGCAGCAGAAUCAACGGCAGAAGUCUGACAGAUGCAGAUUUGAGAUUUGUUUGGGAUUUUCCUGAGCCGAGUUGCUCUACCAGGCCUUUCUCUUUGUGCCGCUCUCUCUGCUGACCCGUCGCUCUCCGUCUCUCUCGUGGUUUAUCUGCGUCCGCCGGACAAAAGGCCGCCACAGGAAACUGCUGAUGCUGUUCUGGUCGAUGCAAACAAACAGCGUCCAGAUCCGUCCACCGGCUGAGUGCUCAGUCCUCUCGUCUCUGCUCCAAUUUGACUCUUUUCUGUCUGAAAUAUUCAAAAUAAAACACUCAGGAGUGUGUGGAGGCUCCUGCAGUGUGCACUUUUGUGUGUGUUUGGUUGUAACAAGAGCUGCUUGGUGUGUGCUGCCACUGUCACUACGCCUGUUUGUUUAGGUGUGUGCGUGUUUGCAUACAUGUGUACAGCGUGUGUGUUUGGAUGCUGCUAUUUGUUCAGCUUGGCCUCUUUUCUCAAGGCUGCCUCAUCGCUGCCAGGAGAGGAGGAUAAUAGAGCUCAGUGUGUGUGUGUGUGUGUGUAUGUGUGUGUGUGUGUCUCAGGGAAUAGAAUCCAGAGUAAACACACAUGUCCGUCUCUCCCCCAGGUGGAGUUCGUUGAAUGAAUGGGCCGACAGUGAUAUUGACAAGCUAACCACAGCUCAUGAGAAUGUCUGUGCAUGUGUGAGUGUGUGCAUGUGUGAGUGUGAGUGUGAGUGUAUGUUUUGCUCUAUAACAAUGACAGAAGUAGGAGAGGUUUGAGCUAAGUGACCUUUUUUUUAAUCAGAUGAGAGGAAACUAGGGACUCACAUUAGAGUUAUUAAAGCAAAUCCUGAUUUAAACGUCGGUAAAUUUUAGAUUGAGCUGCUGAGUUUAACCGUAAGUGAUCUGGAUAACCUCUGAGUUCUCUACUGAAUAGUUACCUCUGCCAAGGAGGUUAUGUUUUCAGUAGCGUUGGUUUGUUUGUUUGUCUGUUAGCAACUUUACGGAGAAAGUUACAGACGGAUUGACCUGAAAUUUUCACCAUCAUUUAUCAUUGUGAGAUAGGGCAAAUUUUUGAGUUUUUGCAUUUAACUCUAUAAAAAUGUCCAGAGUCUUUAGUAAAAAAUGACACAAAAGGAUCUCAAUGAGUUUUAUGAGGUCAAAGGUUGAUCCUGAUCCAGACAAAAUUCUGGAUACUGUGAUCCAGAACACACAAAAAUAAGGGUGUCGUUGGAAUUUUCAAUGCUGAAAGAUAACCAAUAGGCGGCACAGUGGUGUAGAUGGGCGGUACAGUGGUGUAGUAGUUAGCACUGUCGCCUCACAGCAAGAGGGUCCUGGGUUUGAAUCAGGGUCAGGGCAUUUCUUGUUUUAGGAACAUUAUGAACAGUGAACAUACCAGUUUAAACACAAAUAAACGUUAAUAAAAGACACUUAACAGUAAAAGUUUUGCUGUGAAUCACAAUAGGGCUCCGUCCUUCCCUCUCCCCCAACACCGCCUCCAUCCUCGUCCACAGUCUCGUCACCUCCCGUCUGGACUACUGCAACUCCCUCCUCUUCGGUCUCCCUCACACGUCUCUCUAUAAACUUCAACUGGUCCACAACUCUGCUGCCCGGAUCAUCACCAAAACCCCUUUGCCC